GCGGGAUGAAGCCCAAAGUGUGGAAACGAAACUGAACUCUAAGACCAGAUGGAUGUCCAGUCUCUGAUGCUCUGAGGAGUCACCUGAAGCUGAUCAUCCUGCUCCACUGGUUCACUGAACAAGGUACUUGUCUGCAUUCGUUUGGAUUAUUUCAAGUUUUAAAACAGGUGCUUUGUUGGUAUCAACCCUGAGAGGGGAACAAAGGCCAGCCAGGGGAAGGUGAUGUUCCAGAGGUCAGGAAGCUGCUCCAGGAAAAUACAUCUACUGUAAAUCCCCAUGUAGCCUCACUUAUAAAAAGACUGAUGGACUCUGAGUGGGACUUCAUGUACAACACCUCUCCACACAGGACUUCACUUUCACAAAGCAAAAGCCCAGUCUGCAACCAGAUGUUCAUGUUGUCAUUUUAAGGUAACAAGUCUCAGUAUUGUGUUGGGUUCAGUAUAAAAUACUUCAGUUCCAGGUUUGUUCCAUGACUUGGUGUUUAUUGAACAUGAUCAUGAGUUAUGAAAGACUGAUUCUGAAGGCAGGGUACCUGAAAUGUGAUAUGCAGUUUUUAUACUGAUUGUUGACAACCUGUUUAACACCAUUAAUUGUUUUUAUAGAUUUUAUUUUACAAGAUUUGAAUUACUUGAAUGUGUUAGCUUCAGCCAUGAUCUAAAAGUCCACCACGUACAGUGCGGGUGGAACACUGGACACCAGUUUGGUUUGACCACUGCUGCUGAAGCUCCUGUGAUGUGAUUCAGUGGUUUUCCUGCACAUGUGGAUCAGGAUGCAGUCAUUUCUUGCUGAAGAAACCGUUGGACGCCCAGAUCUUGGUUUGUCUUCCAAGCUGUUGGUUGGUCUGUAUUUCUGCAGAGUGAAUCCAACUGCUGAAGGACUGCAUCUGCACUUCCUGGCUGAGAAUCUGGAUCUUCAGGUGUGCUUCCUGCUUUAGGUUCUGUUUUUUUUGGGGGGGUUUUUUUGAACAUUUUAGUCUCUGAAGAACAUUCAAGUGUGCUGCUUUAUUUAGACACGAAACAUUGUGUCAAUUGUGUCUUUUAAUAAAAGACACAACCUUCAUUAUAGGAUCACUGGAAUCAAAAUGACCAAAUACUCAACAUUUAUUAUGUAUUUUAUGGAACCAAUCAAUUUCACAUUUUUGAUGGCUUUUUUAGGAUUUGUUUAGUAUUUUGGCUGUGACUAAACUAAAAGAAAUGAAACUUGAAGACCUAAGAGUGAUUAUUAAUGCAAUAUUUCACAAAUGAUGGGUGUCCGAAAACUUUUUUUCCACCACUGUAGGUUUGAGGUUUUUAAAAUAUAGAUCUUGAAUUACUACUUUUCUUUUCUAUUCAAGGACAAAUAUUUACUUCAUGCAAGAUAACAGUCUCAUGAUUUACUCUAUCUUUGUAGUUUUAUGUCUAAUCUGGACUGAUUCUAAAUCCAAUCAUGUAUCUGUUUUGAUCUACUGUCUAAUAAACCUGAGUAA